CCUACGGGCGGCAGCAGUGGGGGAUAUUGCACAAUGGGGGGAACCCUGAUGCAGCGACGCCGCUGGGGUUCCUUCUCUUUUCUUCUCUUCCCUCCCUCUCUUCCUUUCCUCCUCUUCCUGUACCUGCCCAAGACGCCCCGUCUAACUACGUGCAAGCAGCCGCGGUAAUACGUAGGGUGCAAGCGUUAUCCUGAUUUACUGGGGGUAAAGGGGGCGCAGACGGCAAUGCAAGACAGGAGUGAAAGCGCGGGGCCCAACCCCGGGACUGCUGUUGGAACUGCAUGUCUGGAGUACAGGAGGGGCAGGCGGAAUGCAUAGUGUAGCGGUGAAAUGCGUAGAUAUUAGGAGGAACACCGGUGGCGAAGGCGGCCUGCUGGACUGUGACUGACGUUGAGGCCCGAAGGCGUGGGGAGCAAACAGGAGUAGAGAAAAGGGUAGUC
rnacentral:rRNA from 1 species